rnacentral:rRNA from 1 species
GACGAACGCUGGCGGCGUGCUUAACACAUGCAAGUCGAACGGUGAAGCUCCAGCUUGCUGGAGUGGAUCAGUGGCGAACGGGUGAGUAACACGUGAGCAACCUGCCCCUGACUCUGGAAUAAGCGCUGGAAACGGCGUCUAAUACUGGAUACGAGAAGGGUCCGCAUGGGCACUUUCUGGAAAGUUUUUCGGUUGGGGAUGGGCUCGCGGCCUAUCAGCUUGUUGGUGAGGUAAUGGCUCACCAAGGCGACGACGGGUAGCCGGCCUGAGAGGGCGACCGGCCACACUGGGACUGAGACACGGCCCAGACUCCUACGGGAGGCAGCAGUGGGGAAUAUUGCACAAUGGGCGAAAGCCUGAUGCAGCGACGCCGCGUGAGGGAUGACGGCCUUCGGGUUGUAAACCUCUUUCAGCAGGGAAGAAGCGAAAGUGACGGUACCUGCAGAAGAAACACCGGCUAACUACGUG